rnacentral:rRNA from 1 species
UACAGAGGGUGCGAGCGUUAAUCGGAAUUACUGGGCGUAAAGCGCGCGUAGGCGGCUUUGCAAGUCGAGUGUGAAAUCCCCAGGCCUAACCUGGGAACUGCAUUCGAGACUGCAUGGCUAGAGUAUGGGAGAGGGAAGUGGAAUUUCAGGUGUAGCGGUGAAAUGCGUAGAUAUCAGGAGGGAACACCUGCGGUGUAGACGGCUUUCUGGACCAUAACUGACGCUGAGAUACGAAAGCGUGGGUAGCAAACAGG